GCAUUGGUGGUCUAGUGGUAGAAUUCUCACCUUUCGUGUGGGAGACCUGGGUUCAAUUCCCAGCCAAUGCA
rnacentral:tRNA from 1 species